rnacentral:rRNA from 1 species
GGUCAAGCGAAUAAGCGCACAC